CAAGUUAGAGCUUGAUUAAAGUGUUUUAUUUACAUUAAAAAGAUUUCUAGGAAUAGUGUGACUUGA
rnacentral:tRNA from 1 species